AGUAACGCGUGGGUAACCUGCCUCAUACAGGGGGAGUAACAGUUAGAAAUGACUGCUAAUACCGCAUAAGCGCACAGUGCUGCAUGGCACAGUGUGAAAAACUCCGGUGGUAUGAGAUGGACCCGCGUCUGAUUAGCUAGUUGGUGGGGUAACGGGCCUACCAAGGCGACGAUCAGUAGCCGGCCUGAGAGGGUGAACGGCCACAUUGGGACUGAGACACGGCCCAAACUCCUACGGGAGGCAGCAUG
rnacentral:rRNA from 1 species